AACAAUGAACACUUCAAAUUUGUCCCCAGUGCCAAUACACCCCACUGCUACCCUCGCUUGCUGCUCAUCGAAAUGACUGCUGGACUGCCUGCUGAGGGCUACAAGUGGUCAUUGGCUGGCUCCUGGCGCUCCGUUCGAGUGCGGAUUUUAGUUGGAUCCGAAAUGAAUUUUUUGCUUUUGAGGUUAAAGGGCAAAAUCUGUGCAGCUAGGCGUCGGCGAACACAAGCGGAUGGCAGCUAAAUAUUUACAAGCGAGUCCAACGAGAACACAUCCGCAAACAAAAAGCGCAGACAGAGGGAAGCACAGAGGAGUUUUAUGAAAAUGGCCAUCCCAUGUACGCAUACAUGCAAACGCAUGUGUGUGUGUGUGCACAUAACCACAUGGUGGCGCACCAGCCACGCCCACCACCCAACGCCCACCAUCCAACGCCCAGCACGCGUGGCAAGUGGCAACAAUUCGACAAUUAUGUGGCAUUUCCACUGCUGCCCCUCGCUGUUCGUUUUUAUUUUAAUUAAAAAGUCCCCCGCCAGGAUGCAAAAAGCGAACAGGUUCGCGGAUUCCCACACCUGCAGGUCGAACCAAACCAAACCAAAACCAAAGGAAAAAAAAGGAAACCCAUUCCAUGUGUUAGAAUUUUUGAUAUUUAUGGGCAGUGGCCACUGGUCGGUGCAAAGUUACAGCCCGAUAAGCAUCUGCAACAGCCGGAGGCACCAAGGGGCACCAGGGGUCACCAAGGGGCACCAUGGGGCACCAUGGAAGGUGCCCCAAAAACCACCGCCCACUGCAGCUGUUGUGGCGGAGAUUUUGCAGAUUUUCGGUGCGUUGCGACGGUUUGGUUCGCAAUUAUGCAAAUCGAAAGAUCGCCACACAGCGAUAUCCGGAAAUUCCAUGCAUUUACAAUUUUCUAAUCAAUGGAAUUAUAAUUUUAAUUUCCAAGGC